rnacentral:rRNA from 1 species
CCUACGGGAGGCAGCAGUAGGGAAUAUUGCUCAAUGGGGGAAACCCUGAAGCAGCAACGCCGCGUGGAGGAUGAAGGUUUUCGGAUUGUAAACUCCUUUUGUUAGAGAAGAUUAUGACGGUAUCUAACGAAUAAGCACCGGCUAACUCCGUGCCAGCAGCCGCGGUAAUACGGAGGGUGCAAGCGUUACUCGGAAUCACUGGGCGUAAAGAGCGCGUAGGCGGGAUAGCAAGUCAGAUGUGAAAUCCUAUGGCUUAACCAUAGAACUGCAUUUGAAACUGUUAUUGUAGAGUAUGGGAGAGGUAGGUGGAAUUCUUGGUGUAGGGGUAAAAUCCGUAGAGAUCAAGAGGAAUACUCAUUGCGAAGGCGACCUGCUGGAACAUAACUGACGCUGAUGCGCGAAAGCGUGGGGAGCAAACAGGAUUAGAUACCCCAGUAGUC